AAGGAGCCUGAUGCAGGGAGUGAGGAGCAGGACAGUGAGGGUGGAAAGGGGCCUGAUGCAGGGAGUGAGGAGCAGGACGGUGAGGGUGGGAAGGGGCCUGAUGCAGGGAGUGAGGAGCAGGACGGUGAGGGUGGGAAGGAGCUUGAUGCAGGGAGUGAGGAGCAGGACGGUGAGGGUGGGAAGGAGCCUGAUGCAGGGAGUGAGGAGCAGGACGGUGAGGGUGGGAAGGAGCUUGAUGCAAG
rnacentral:lncRNA from 1 species